CCCAGAUUUUUUUUUCUUGCUCAGGAUGAACGCUGGCGGCGUGCCUAAUACAUGCAAGUCGAACGCGCAGCGAGAGGUGCUUGCACCUUUCAAGCGAGUGGCGAACGGGUGAGUAACACGUGGAUAACCUGCCUCAAGGCUGGGGAUAACAUUUGGAAACAGAUGCUAAUACCGAAUAAAACUUAGUAUCGCAUGAUAUCAAGUUAAAAGGCGCUACGGCGUCACCUAGAGAUGGAUCCGCGGUGCAUUAGUUAGUUGGUGGGGUAAAGGCUUACCAAGACGAUGAUGCAUAGCCGAGUUGAGAGACUGAUCGGCCACAUUGGGACUGAGACACGGCCCAAACUCCUACGGGAGGCUGCAGUAGGGAAUCUUCCACAAUGGGCGCAAGCCUGAUGGAGCAACGCCGCGUGUGUGAUGAAGGCUUUCGGGUCGUAAAGCACUGUUGUAUGGGAAGAAAUGCUAAAAUAGGGAAUGAUUUUAGUUUGACGGUACCAUACCAGAAAGGGACGGCUAAAUACGUGCCAGCAGCCGCGGUAAUACGUAUGUCCCGAGCGUUAUCCGGAUUUAUUGGGCGUAAAGCGAGCGCAGACGGUUGAUUAAGUCUGAUGUGAAAGCCCGGAGCUCAACUCCGGAAUGGCAUUGGAAACUGGUUAACUUGAGUGUUGUAGAGGUAAGUGGAACUCCAUGUGUAGCGGUGGAAUGCGUAGAUAUAUGGAAGAACACCAGUGGCGAAGGCGGCUUACUGGACAACAACUGACGUUGAGGCUCGAAAGUGUGGGUAGCAAACAGGAUUAGAUACCCUGGUAGUCCACACCGUAAACGAUGAAUACUAGGUGUUAGGAGGUUUCCGCCUCUUAGUGCCGAAGCUAACGCAUUAAGUA
rnacentral:rRNA from 1 species